UUACGGCCAUAUCACGUUGAAACAUCGGUUCCUAUACAAUCACUGAAGUUAAGCAAUGUCGAGCCUGGUUAAUGCUUAGAUUGGUGGCUACUUGGGAAUAUCAAGUACUGUAAG